AUCCACGGCCAUACCACCCUGAACACACCUGAUCUCCUCUGAUUUUGGAAGCUGAGCAGGGCCAGGCCUGGUUAGUACUGGAGAGUAGAAAUGGUAGUGUCUC
rnacentral:rRNA from 1 species